UUCAGCUCGAAAUCACACCAGUUUCACCUAAAAAUUAAUCUAGGUUUGAGUUCGAGUCUGUUCCAUUUUAGCUGGGUUAUGUAUUCUGUUAGUUAUAUGGAUCGUUUGACCUAAAAUUUGAUCGAUGAAGAUGAAGAAGAUGGUUGAGACUUGAUUCUGCUGAUGAUAAAUUACGUUGGUUUAAUAUUUUUCUUUGAAGAGGACUUGUACGUUGGUACUCUCAAUUGGAACUUGUACGUUGUUACAGACUAUGAUUGGUAUUUCCGCUUCUAAAAUCAGAAGUUUGAACGGAGAACUGCUCAAGCACAGAACUUUAAAAAUUGAAGGUCCUCAAGAGACAAGGGGCAUUUCUGAAUAAAAACAGGUGGAGGAUAGGAAGGAAAAACUUACAAAAAUACUGGAUUGGAAUGGCUUGGAGAUGACAAAGGCAUACAUGCUUGAUACACGAGGCCGUGCAGUCAAAAUUCAAAAAAUCGGAAAAGACUGCUCCUUUUGGUUGGGAUGUAGGUUGAGCAUGAAGAAGACAUGGUGUUGUUGCUGACAUGGUUGAGGGCAGUAGAGGAUAUGAGCUGAUGGAAAUUUGUGUUUAUGGAGUCUUUCAUGGCUUCAUCUCGGCUAAGAUUACAAAAAGGGGAGAAGACUGUUAAUGGGUGUGUGGCUGUUGCAGGUGUUUGGUCUGAACUGCAAUUAUCGGUUGGAAUGGAGAACAUGGGUCUGUUGUGGUUGGUGUUGGUCUGAGUUUUAUAGAUGAAUGUUAGGAUUCAGGAACAAAUUGCAGGUGACAGAGAAGUGGUUUGAUGAGUUUGAAGAUGUUGUUGGACUGAUACUUUUAAGCCAUGAUUUGGGUCAAGGUUUCUUGAUCUCAGGUGUUGGUGGUGGUUGCAAUGGAACCAUGUGUCUGAAGCUGUUGUCUGCUGGUUUCGAACGACAAUUUUGGUUUUUGGGAUUCAGAGUUUGAGAUAGUUUUGAUGUGGUGCAGGCAAAUGGUGACUGGUGUUGGGUUUUGGUUUGUUUGCUGUUGCAGAAAGUUGUUAUUGCUGGUGGUAGUUUGUAGACAAACUGAGUAGCAGUUGAAAUGAGAACUGAUGUGCAGGGAUUCAGGGAAGCAAUUUGGCUAUGUUAUGUGCAAAUGGCCUAGGACAAGGCCAUUGAAUCGAGUCAGAGCAGCUGAGUCAGUAACUGACUCAAGCCCCAGACCGUUAGUUUAACCAGUGACCACCUAAUUUUUUUCUCGUUACCGGAAGAUGAUUUCCGCUGACUUUUCCGGCCAACUUCCAGUAAUUCAACUUAUAUUAGCUUUUUCUCCUUUAGUUGGAAAACCGAGUCAGAGGAGCAUUUUUUUUACCAUUUGUCAAUAUUUAUGAGAAAUUUAAAGAUAAAUUAUUAACAACAAAA